rnacentral:rRNA from 1 species
ACGUAGGGUGCGAGCGUUAAUCGGAAUUACUGGGCGUAAAGCGUGCGCAGGCGGUGCGCCAAGCUCGAUGUGAAAGCCCCGGGCUUAACCUGGGAAUUGCAUUGAGGACUGGCGUGCUCGAGUGCGGCAGAGGGGGGUGGAAUUCCACGUGUAGCAGUGAAAUGCGUAGAGAUGUGGAGGAACACCGAUGGCGAAGGCAGCCCCCUGGGCCGACACUGACGCUCAUGCACGAAAGCGUGGGGAGCAAACAGGA